UGAUGACUUAUUAAUGUAAUACAUCUUAAAAGCAGGAUUGUCCUAAUGUUCUGACCAAUCCAUAUUCCUUAGUACACUUCCACUGACUAAAAUAAAAUAAACAAAAAUAAACUUGGGGUCAUACUGCCCAGAAACUCUUAUUCCUAGUCUGUGUCUUACAAACUCAGGGUAAUCAUAAAACAAUGUAUUCAUUGGAUAUCGCCAUAUCCAGAAACCUAUUCUCCCUAGUCCAUACCUUUAUAGACUAAGGUCAAAUAUAAUUGUGUACUAUACUCUUUCCAUUCAAUUCAAUUCCUCUUGGAUCUCUGAACUCUUAUAUCCAAGGCAUUCUUAAUGUAUACAAUUACUUAAUAUUAAUCAAUAUAA